UACGUAGGGUGCGAGCGUUGCCCGGAUUUAUUGGGCGUAAAGGGCGCGUAGGCGGCCACGCACGUCCGUUGUGAAAUCGCCCGGCUCAACUGGGCGGGGUCAGCGGAUACGGUGUGGCUCGAGCAAGCUAGGGGGCAAUGGAAUUCCCGGUGUGAGUGGUGGAAUGCGUAGAUAUCGGGAGGAACACCAGUGGCGAAGGCGGUUGCCUGGAGCUUUGCUGACGCUGAGGCGCGAAAGCGUGGGGAGCGAGUCCGG
rnacentral:rRNA from 1 species